CCAAUAGCGUAUAUUAAAGUUGCUGCAGUUAAAAAGCUCGUAGUUGAAUUUCGGGACCAAUAUGUCGGUCGUGCCUCGGUACGUACUGGCAUCGUUGGUUUCUCCCUUCUGACGAACCAUGAUGUCAUUUAUUUGGUGUCGUGGGGAAUCAGGACUGUUACUUUGAAAAAAUUAGAGUGUUUAAAGCAGGCUCACGCUUGAAUACAUUAGCAUGGAAUAAUGAAAUAGGACGUUUGAUUCUAUUUUGUUGGUUUCUAGGAUCGACGUAAUGAUUAAUAGGGAUAGUUGGGGGCAUUAGUAUUCAAUUGUCAUAGGUGAAAUUCUUGUAUUUAUUGAAGACUAACUACUGCGAAAGCAUUUGCCAAGGAUGUUUUCAUUAAUCAAGAACGAAAGUUAGGGGAUCGAAGACGAUCAGAUACCGUCGUAGUCUUAACCAUAAACUAUGCCGACUAGGGAUCGGAUGAUGUUAAUUUUUUAAUGACUCAUUCGGCGCCUUACG
rnacentral:rRNA from 1 species